ensembl:lncRNA
UGUGUGUGUGUGUGUGUGUGUGUGUGUGUGGUGUGUGUAAUCAGCAAACAUAUUCUUUCAGAUUUUAAUAUUUUGAAAUGCAUUGAGACUUACUUUAUGAGCUAGAACUGCCCAUAUGUACUUGAAAAGAAGAAAUAUCCUGUCAUCAUUGGAUAUAUUGUCCCUUAGAUAUUAGUCAAGUCAAAGUGGUUAAUAGUGUAGGUUAGGUCUUCUCUACUUUCUCAUUUUCACCUACUUGUUCUAACAAUUAUGGAGAGGGGAAUAUUGAAAUUAGCAUUUAUGAUUAUAGACUUUUAUGUUCCUCUCUUCAAUUCUGUUGUUUUGCUUCAUAUAUUUCAAAGCUGUGUUCUUAUUUAUAAAUAUGACUUCCAGAUAUAUUGAUUUUGUUGUCAUUAAAAAGUAUCCCUUUGUAUUUUUGUAAUAAUUGCUUUCUUGAAAUUUAUUUUGUCUAAAAUUAGUGUUUCCACUCCACCUUUCUUAAGUUUACUGAUGCAUGAUAAAUAUUUUCUUCUUACUUUUCACUUUCAACUUGUCCAUAUCUUUAUAUUUAAAGUACAUCUCAUAUAAGUAGUGUUUUUGAUAGGGUUGAAUUCAAUAUUUUAAUCAAAUGGGACUACAUCAGACUAAAAAACUUGUGCACAGUGAAGGAAAUUAUCAACAUAAUGAAAACACCACCUGAAUGGGAGAGGAUAUUUGCAAAUGUUCUAUCUGAUAAGGGGUUAAUAUCCAAAAUAUACAAAUAACUCGUAGAUCUUAAUAUCAAAAAACAAAAUAAUCCAGUUAAAAAGUGGCAGAGGGGAGUUCCUGUUGCAGCGCAUUGGAUUCGUUAACCACGGCGCCACGACGGGAACUCCAUCACAGAGCAUCUGUGUGUGUGCGUGUGUAUUUAAAUGAUGAAUAUUUUGAUUUAACAGAACAAUAGUAAAAGUCAUAUCAGUGUGUUUAUAAUAAAGACCUUACUAGGUUCAUAUUAAUAUUUUUAUCUGACUUUUCUUUUUUAGGAACUUAAGAGAUUUCAGAACUUCGUAAAAUACUGUCCUCCUUUUGAUAUUGUCAUUGAUGGGCUCAAUGUUGCCAAGAUGUUUCCUAAAGCUCGUGAAUCACAAGUUGUAAGUACAAAUUUUAUUUUGUUAUUCUGCAUCUCUAGAAAUAUGUACUGUACCCAUUUGUGAUCUUCCUUGGGUCUCUUAGCUCCCCCAUUUUCUUUUCCUCUAAAAUUAAGUUCCCAGAGGUGCCACAGUGGCCAGCCAGUCAUCUAAAAUUCACUGUUUUCAUCUUUGGCAUGUAAGUGGCUCUUACAGGCUGGGCAAGAGUGAGAGAUUAAAAAGUCUAGUAACAAAGGUCCAGUGUAGUCCUUUUUGGGUAACCUUUAGCUAACCUUCUGCUAUAUCUCUCCUCUUUAGAGGUACUCUAUCUUGUCCCUGUGGAUCUCACCCCUCCAUUUGAAAUUUUUCAACAUGUGCUAUUAAGAGAGAUCAGUCACUCAUUACUCACAUUUGUGUUUUUCCAAACAUACCAUGUUACAUAAAUUAACCUAAGAAAUUCUUUUUUUUUGUAAAAUAAUUUUUUGUUCUAUUAAUUUCUGUGUCCUGGUAGUUUCUAAUAGGAAUACCAUGAUUUUUUAUAAUGCUAGUGAGCAAUUAUUUUAAUCCCAAUUUUAGAGGCUAGAAAAUUAAGGUCAGUUUUGUACAGCAAGUCCUUCGAAAGCAGUUAUAACGUCAUACAUUUUAAAAGAUUCUAGCAGAUUUUGGCAAACAGAGAAGCAGAGAACAAAUGGUGGGCUAUGGUAAUCAUAGUCAUCUGCCACUACUUUUAGCUUUUAAAAUAAUUUAGGAAGUUCCCUUGUGGUGCAGUGGAUUAAGGGUCUGCAGGUGUGGUGAAGGUCCCAACCUCAGCAUGGGUUUGAUCCCUGGCCCAGUAACUUCCACAUGCUGUGGGUGUGGCCAAAAAAAUUUUUUUUUAAAUUAACGUUAGCAACAGUUGAUAUGACAGGUAAUUGUUAUUACCCAGCUCUUCAGAGCACUAUUAUCUUGUGGCAGUGCCCUGGUAUUAUAUUUGGGAAACCUAACCUCGGAGACUCAUCUUAGAGGUGCCACCUGAAUAGUAUUUCAUAGUGUUUUAAAUAGCUUUAAAGUAGCAUUUUAGUUUAAAAGUUAAGAAUGGGGAUUCUGGAGCCAGACUCUUGACAUUCAGUUUGCCACUUUUAAUUGCUUUCAUAGUUUGAGCAAGUUACUUAAUGUCUCUAUGCCUUAGUUUCCCAAUCUGUAAAACAGUACCUAUCUCUUAAAGAGUUAAGGAGAAUACUUGGCAUAUACCAAGUACUUAAUAGGUGUAACUAUUGCUAUGAUUGCUAUUCAGAUUAACUUUCCAUCCUGCUGUAUAACACUGGAAACUAUAUCUAGUCACUUAUAAUGGAGCAUGGUAAUGUGAGAAAAAAGAAUGUAUACAUGUAUGUGUGACUGGGUCACCUUGUGGUACAGUAGAAAAUUGACAGAUCACUGUAAACCAGCUCUAAUGGAAAAAAUAAAAAUCAUUAUAAAAAAGUUAACUUUCCAAGUGGAACCACAAUUCUUGCUUGCAGCCAACCCCUAUUUAGCAAUUUCAGAUUUUCUCCUGUCAUGUCAUCCAUGUCAAUGGAGUUAAAAUACAAAUCUCUGCCUUAGUAUUAGACUAAAUAUUAGUGUUAGACUCUAGGUCAGGUACUCAAAUAAUACUUGAUUGAGAAAUAAAGUUCCCAUUGUGGCUUAACAGGUUAAGAACCUGACUAGUAUCCAUGAUAUGCCGGUUUGAUCCCUGGCCUCCCUCAGUGGGUUAAGGACCCAGCAUUGCAAUGAGCUGUAGUGUAGGUUGCAGACAUGGCUUGGAUCCAGUGUUGCUGUGGCUGUGGUGUAGGCUGGCAGCUGCAGCUCUUAUUUGACCCCUAGCCUGGGAACUUCCACAUGCCGCUGGUGCAGCCCUGAAAAGAAAAAAAAAAAAAAAAAAAAAAAA